GGUCGAAUGGCGCAAUGGUAGCGCGUUACUUUCCGGUUCACUUGCAGUCUUUAAUCUCUUCGUUAAGGACAGCUAUAUGUUUCUACCUGGUAAAGGUUCUGGGUUCGAAUCCCAGUUUGAUCG